GACAGAGGGUGCAAACGUUGUUCGGAAUUACUGGGCGUAAAGCGCGUGUAGGCGGUUGUCCAAGUCAGGUGUGAAAGCCUUGAGCUCAACUCAAGAAAUGCACUUGAUACUGGAUGACUAGAGGACCGGAGAGGAUAGUGGAAUUCCCAGUGUAGUGGUGAAAUACGUAGAGAUUGGGAAGAACACCAGUGGCGAAGGCGGCUAUCUGGACGGUUUCUGACGCUAAGACGCGAAAGCGUGGGGAGCAAACAGG
rnacentral:rRNA from 1 species